UACUAUUGUUUUCUUGAUUAAAUAAUUAUUAUUGAUUUUUUGGAGAAAAAAAUUUAAUUAAGUGAAAUAUAAAUAUUUAUAAUAAAUGAAAAGGAAUAAUUUUGAAUAAUUAAAGUAAAUAAGUAUAAAAAUAGAUUUAAUAAAUUAAAAGGAAAAAUAAGUUUAAUUUUUGUACCUUUUGUAUCAGGGUUUGAAUAAAUAAAUAUAAAUAUAUUUAUUCUCGAAAGUUUUUGAUUUAAUUUUUUAAAAUUGUUAAUGUUGAAUAAUUAUAUUAAAUAAAAAAUUGGGAGUUAUAAGUUAAUCGUAAAAAUUGAUUUCUAGUUUUUGAAUAAAUUAAUUUAAUUAAAACUUUUAAAUUUAUAAUUUAUAAUAAUAAUUUAAUUGAUUAAGAGUUAAAUUUAUGAAAAGUUUAGUUUUUAUAAAUUUUAUAUUAAUAUAUUUAAAAAUUUUUUUUAGAUUUAUUAUUGUUUAAAAUAAAUAAUUUUUUAUAAAUAAAAAUUUAUUAAUUUAAAUUUAUAUUAAAAAUUGAUUUUAUAUUCAAGUUUUAUUUUAAAUAAAUAAAAAUAAGUAAUAAUUUCAAAAUUAGUAAAUAAAUAAAUAUUAAAUUUAGUAACUUGGCAAAUUUUAUUUGCGCCUGUUUACCAAAAACAUGUUUUUAAGAGUAAAAUUUAAAAUUUGUUCUGCUCACUGAAAUUUAAAGAGCCGCAGUAUUUUGACUGUGCAAAGGUAGCAUAAUCAUUAGUUUUUUAAUUGAAAACUGGCAUGAAAGAAUGGACGAUAAAUAGACUUUCUUAAUUUUAUAAGUUGAAUUUAAAUUUUGAGUUAAAAUUCUUAAUUAAAUUUAAAAGACGAGAAGACCCUAUAGAUUUUUAUUAAUUAAAAGAUUUAAAAUAAAAAGAAUUUUUUAAUUAAUUUAAUUGGGGUGAUUUUGUAAUAUAAAAAACUUAAUUUAAUAAAACCAUAAAUAAUUGAAUUUUUGAUCUAAAAUUUUUAAAUUUAAGAUUAAAUUACCUUAGGGAUAACAGCGUUAUAUUAUUUAAGAGUACAUAUCUAUAAUAAUGAUUGCGACCUCGAUGUUGAAUUAAGAGUUAUAUAGGAGUAGAAGCUUAUAGAAAUAGUCUGUUCGACUAAUAAUUUCUUACAUGAUUUGAGUUCAGACCGGCGUGAGCCAGGUCAGUUUCUAUCUUUAAAUUAUUUUUUUAAGUGGGUACGAAAGGACAAUUUUAAAUUAAAAUUUAAUUAUAUUGA
rnacentral:rRNA from 1 species